rnacentral:rRNA from 1 species
GACGAACGCUGGCGGCGUGCUUAACACAUGCAAGUCGAACGGAAAGGCCCUGCUUUUGUGGGGUGCUCGAGUGGCGAACGGGUGAGUAACACGUGAGUAACCUGCCCUUGACUUUGGGAUAACUUCAGGAAACUGGGGCUAAUACCGGAUAUGAGCUCCUGCUGCAUGGUGGGGGUUGGAAAGUUUCGGCGGUUGGGGAUGGACUCGCGGCUUAUCAGCUUGUUGGUGGGGUAGUGGCUUACCAAGGCUUUGACGGGUAGCCGGCCUGAGAGGGUGACCGGCCACAUUGUGACUGAGAUACGGCCCAGACUCCUACGGGAGGCAGAAGUGGGGAAUAUUGCACAAUGGGCGGAAGCCUGAUGCAGCAACGCCGCGUGCGGGAUGACGGCCUUCGGGUUGUAAACCGCUUUCGCCUGUGACGAAGCGUGAGUGACGGUAAUGGGUAAAGAAGCAACGGCUAACUACGUG